CCCAGAGACUUGAGCGCAGCAGCAGGAGGGCCUGGCAGGAGAGGGCAGGGCUGGGCAGCCCGAGGACUCCAGCGGGGUGGCCCAAAGAGAGGAGGCUUUCCGGCAUCCCCGGCAUGGCCUAUCCCCUUUGUCCUGCCUGCCCUCUGGACAGAGAGAGACUCAUUAUCCAGUUAGAUGCUAGGCGGUAAGAGGAGGAAGCUAAUUGUGCUAGCGCUAGCUAAUUAAUGCUGCCUUUCCUAUUAACAUUCUUUGGAGUGCUCCAUUUCAAUUAGAUGAUCUGUCCAGGAAGAGAGGCUGUCGUCAGUCCAGAGAAAGUAAGCAAGAGGAGGUGACGGAAGGAGGGAAACAGAGACAGAGACAGAGGAAAAGAGGAGAGAGACCGAAGGGAGAGUGGAAUGGUGGGGGAUGAGGGAGAGACUGAGAUGCAAAUAGGGAAACAAAAGAAGAAACAGAAAGGAAGAAUGACUGAGGAUGAGGGGGAGAGGAGGGGUGCGCAGCAGAAGACUUGCAAGAGAGAGGCCUGGAAGGGGUGGGAAUUGCUCCUGUAAUAUGCAAGAUUCGUAUUAAUGAAAUAAUUAAACUUCCCAUUUGCAACGCCCUAACACGAGCCUGCCAGCUUGCCGAGGGGAUGGUAACUGCUCUGAGUCCCGAUUUGUAUUCGCACUGGAGGCAGCUCAGACUCACCCAAUCUCCAAAGGGAAAAACCAAGUCUGCAUGUGGAGAACGGGUAUAACAGUACUCACCGCAGAAACUGUCAGAAGGAUGGCGUACACAACAGACUGAGUACGGUGCCUGGUAGGUAUAAGUGCUUGGGAAAUGACAGCUACUAUUCUUUCAUAUGCUACUUCCCUCCAAAGGCUGGAACCCCUAACAGAUACAUGUAGCUGGCUGUGUUUUCCAAAGAUGGCUGCAACAAUAUCUGCCAUCUCACAUGCUUAUCUCAUGAUGUGACUUUGACACUCCUCCCAUCAAGCAGGCAAGGCUGCCAAAAUCACCAGCCCACCCAGAUUCAAGGGGAAGGAAUGCAGGCAUUAGGAAAUAAAGGAAGAUGCAGCUUCCUUCUGGCUCUCUUCGGACGCUCAUCCUUGGGAUCAGCCACUGUGUUACGAGAAUGUCCAAACUAGCCCAUGCGGAGAGAUCACUCGUAGGACUUCCUGCUGACAACCAACCUGACAGCCAGCAUCAACCACCAUGUGAUGUGAGCAUGUGAGCGACGCUGCUGCAGACAAUUCCAGCCCCCGGUCAUUGAGUAACCACUAGCCUUGAAGUCUUUCCAGCCGAGGCCCAGAUACCACAGAGUAGAGCUCAGCCAUCCUCUCCUGUGCCCUGUCCUGACCCGCGGAAUGCACGAUAGUUAUUAUACAUCUCUACACUCCGGGAUGUUUUGUUACAUAGCAAUAGCAACUGCAACAAUUGCAGUGAAGCCUUGUUCUGUAUGUGUGGCUCCAUGCCCUGCAGACAGCAUUUGCUGGAUUUAAG
rnacentral:lncRNA from 1 species